AAUUUCCUCAACCAUCUUAUCAAUGGUAUUUAUUAGUACAAUGAUCGAUCCGUACCUCAUCAGUUGUGAUUCAGUUAUUGAAGUAGACGCAUCCACUCAAUCGAGGAAACAGCAUAAUGAAAUUGACAAUUUUCUUCACCCUGCUCAUGCUACUGCUCGGAGCGGUCUUCGCAUUUCCAUCUGAGGGAACAGACCCUGCUACAGACGUAAAGUUGGCGGAGACGCAGAAUGCUGCUGUGGAAACCGUUCAACACAAGUCUUCUGAAGAUUCGGACUCGAAUGAGGACAGCAAAGAGCACAAAUCGUGUCACAAGCCAAAUGCUUAAAUCAGUUUUUUUCUGUAG